CAACUCCGAAAUGCCUACCUAUAGACUGAGUUUAUGGAAUACAUUUCCUUCAUUGAGUGAAACUUUUUCUGGAGGCUAGAAGUACAAAAUGAAGGUGUGGAAAAGCCAUGUUCUUGCUAAGAACUCAAAAAGCAGAUUUUUUCUAACUUCUGGUGGUUGCAGAACUCAAGUCCAAGCACCAUCUGUUCCCCCAAACAGACGCCUCUUCACUUUGCCUCAGACUUAAGAGUAUGUUCACCUGAAGAAAUGUCUGCUGAAAAGAAACCGGCACAAGCUUCGGAGGCAAGUUUAUGGCUAUUCAGGCAUGGAAUUUGGGGUCCUCUGUGCCAAGAAUAUGAGUCAGAAGGACACAGAAGCUGGCAGCUUGGGAGACAAGGAGAAAGGGGAGUGAAGAGUAAGGAAUGGGAUCAUGUAUGGAAAAGGACGCUGUUUAAAACAGACAGCCAUUCUGAACUAAGUGGAUUAACUGAGUAAGAUGGUUUGUAUUCUUUUAUGGUCAGUUAGGAGGUUUCUUAACAGAGCUGCAAGUCAUUGACUCUGAGGGACUUGGGGUAAAUCACUUUACAUCUCUGGACAUCAGUUUCCUCAUCUACCUCCUAUGGGAAUAGGGGGUAGUUUCUAAGGUCUUUCAUUACUCAAAGUCUCCAAGUUUUUCACAGGACUCAAGGGAAUUAAAUACUCACUUUGGCUACUACAUGUUUUAAAUAAUAAAACCCAUAUAUCAGAAUGAAAACA
rnacentral:lncRNA from 13 species